rnacentral:rRNA from 1 species
AUUGAACGCUGGCGGCGUGCCUAAUACAUGCAAGUAGGACGCAGUUGCGAACGGGUGAGUAACGCGUAGGAACCUACCUAUUAGAGGGGGAUAACUAUUGGAAACGAUAGCUAAUACCGCAUACUAGUAGAUGGAACUGCGUUGUAUUAGCUAGUUGGUGGGGUAAAGGCCUACAAAGGCUACGAUCCGUAGCUGGGCUGCGAGGGUUAUCAGUCACACUGGAACUGAGACACGGUCCAGACUCCGACGGGAGGCAGCAGUGGGGAAUAUUGGACAAUGGGCGAAAGCCUGAUCCAGCCAUGCCGCGUGUGUGAAGAAGGUCUUCGGAUUGUAAAGCACUUUAAGUUGUGAAGCGUUACCAACAGAAUAAGCACCGGCUAACUUCGUGCCAGCAGCCGCGGUAAUAC